AUUGAACGCUGGCGGCAUGCCUUACACAUGCAAGUCGAACGGCAGCGGGGGAGAAGCUUGCUUUUCCUGCCGGCGAGUGGCGAACGGGUGAGUAAUACAUCGGAACGUGCCCUGUAGGGGGGGAUAACUAGUCGAAAGAUUAGCUAAUACCGCAUACGACCUGAGGGUGAAAGUGGGGGACCGCAAGGCCUCAUGCUAUAGGAGCGGCCGAUGUCUGAUUAGCUAGGUGGUGGGGUAAAGGCCGACCAAGGCGACGAUCAGGAGCUGGUCUGGAAGGACGAGCACCCACACUGGGGCUGCGGCACAGCCCAGCCUCCUACGGGAGGAAGCAGUGGGGAAUUUUGGACAAUGGGCGAAAGCCUGCUCCAGCAAUGCCGCGUGUGUGAAGAAGGCCUUCGGGUUGUAAAGCACUUUUGUCCGGAAAGAAAUGGCUCUGGUUAAUACCUGGGGUCGAUGACGGUACCGGAAGAAUAAGGACCGGCUAACUACGUGCCAGCCGCCGCCGUAA
rnacentral:rRNA from 1 species